rnacentral:rRNA from 1 species
UAGGGAAUCUUCGGCAAUGGACGGAAGUCUGACCGAGCAACGCCGCGUGAGUGAAGAAGGUUUUCGGAUCGUAAAGCUCUGUUGUAAGAGAAGAACGAGUGUGAGAGUGGAAAGUUCACACUGUGACGGUAUCUUACCAGAAAGGGACGGCUAACUACGUGCCAGCAGCCGCGGUAAUACGUAGGUCCCGAGCGUUGUCCGGAUUUAUUGGGCGUAAAGCGAGCGCAGGCGGUUAGAUAAGUCUGAAGUUAAAGGCUGUGGCUUAACCAUAGUAGGCUUUGGAAACUGUUUAACUUGAGUGCAAGAGGGGAGAGUGGAAUUCCAUGUGUAGCGGUGAAAUGCGUAGAUAUAUGGAGGAACACCGGUGGCGAAAGCGGCUCUCUGGCUUGUAACUGACGCUGAGGCUCGAAAGCGUGGGGAGCAAACAGGAUUAGAUACCCUGGUAGUCCACGCUGUAAACGAUGAGUGCUAGGUGUUAGACCCUUUCCGGGGUUUAGUGCCGUAGCUAACGCAUUAAGCACUCCGCCUGGGGAGUACGGCCGCAAGGUUG